UAGCGGCAGGCCUAAUACAUGCAAGUCGAACGGUAGAUUGCUUUCGGGUAAUUGAGAGUGGCGCACGGGUGCGUAACGCGUAUGCAACCUACCCUAUACAGGGGGAUAGCCCGGAGAAAUCUGGAUUAAUACCCCAUAGUACUAUGAUGAGGCAUUUUGUUAUAGUUAAAGAUUCAUCGGUAUAGGAUGGGCAUGCGUCUGAUUAGCUAGUUGGCGGUGUAACGGACCACCAAGGCGACGAUCAGUAGGGGUUCUGAGAGGAAGGUCCCCCACACUGGCACUGAGAUACGGGCCAGACUCCUACGGGAGGCAGCAGUAGGGAAUAUUGGGCAAUGGACGAGAGUCUGACCCAGCCAUGCCGCGUGCAGGAAGACGGCGUUCUGCGUUGUAAACUGCUUUUAUCUGGGAAGAAAAGGCCCAUGCGUGGGACAUUGCCGGUACCAGAUGAAUAAGCACCGGCUAACUCCGUGCCAGCAGCCGC
rnacentral:rRNA from 1 species